UCUUCAUUUCGCACACUCACUCACCGGUCAGACAGGCGAGAGAGUGUGUGAGAUGAAGAGA
rfam:Pristionchus pacificus strain PS312 contig9261, whole genome shotgun sequence.